rnacentral:rRNA from 1 species
GACGAACGCUGGCGGCGUGCUUAACACAUGCAGGUCGUACGGUAAGGCCCUUUCGGGGGUACACGAGUGGCGAACGGGUGAGUAACACGUGAGUAACCUGCCCACAACUUUGGGAUAACGCUAGGAAACUGGUGCUAAUACUGGAUAUGUGCUCCUGCUGCAUGGUGGGGGUUGGAAAGCUCCGGCGGUUGUGGAUGGACUCGCGGCCUAUCAGCUUGUUGGUGGGGUAGUGGCCUACCAAGGCGGCGACGGGUAGCCGGCCUGAGAGGGUGACCGGCCACAUUGGGACUGAGAUACGGCCCAGACUCCUACGGGAGGCAGCAGUGGGGAAUAUUGCACAAUGGGCGCAAGCCUGAUGCAGCAACGCCGCGUGCGGGAUGACGGCCUUCGGGUUGUAAACCGCUUUCAGCAGGGACGAAGCUUUUUGUGACGGUACCUGCAGAAGAAGCACCGGCUAACUACGU